AACAUAAGAGUCUACCUAUUCAAUAAAAAGAAAGAAGUGACUUGAAAGAAAACGAAGAGAAAAAUGAAGAGAGUUUUGACUUAGUUUUUGUGAAUGAUUGGUGGUGUCAUUUGUGAAUGGAAUGAAGUUUAUUUAUAGGCUCUAGAAAUGAUAGUUUAGGAAUUAUGCAAAGAUUGUGAGUGCCUUCUAGAAACUUAAUUAAUU
rnacentral:lncRNA from 1 species